CAGAGAAUAGUUUAAUUAAAAUAUUAAUUUUGGAGAUUAAAGAUAAAAGUAUAUUUUUUCUCUGA
rnacentral:tRNA from 1 species